rnacentral:rRNA from 1 species
GAUCGGGGACACCACUGGAAACGGUGGCUAAUACCGGAUGUGCCGAAAGGUGAAAGAUUUAUUGCCUAGAGAUGAGCUCGCGUCUGAUUAGCUAGUUGGUGUGGUAAGAGCGCACCAAGGCGACGAUCAGUAGCUGGUCUGAGAGGAUGAUCAGCCACACUGGGACUGAGACACGGCCCAGACUCCUACGGGAGGCAGCAGUGGGGAAUUUUCCGCAAUGGGCGAAAGCCUGACGGAGCAAUACCGCGUGAGGGAGGAAGGCUCUUGGGUUGUAAACCUCUUUUCUCAGGGAAUAAGAAAGUGAAGGUACCUGAGGAAUAAGCAUCGGCUAACUCCGUGCCAGCAGCCGCGGUAAUACGGAGGAUGCAAGCGUUAUCCGGAAUGAUUGGGCGUAAAGCGUCCGCAGGUGGCACUGUAAGUCUGCUGUUAAAGAGCAAGGCUCAACCUUGUAAAGGCGGUGGAAACUACAGAGCUAGAGUACGUUCGGGGCAGAGGGAAUUCCUGGUGUAGCGGUGAAAUGCGUAGAGAUCAGGAAGAACACCGGUGGCGAAAGC